GGGGGAGCCAGGUGUCCCGUGCUCAGCGCGGGGCAAUUUGAGGUCGCACAAGAGUGCAGAAUGACGCAGCGCACCUGUAAUGGUUUGGUUUCUGUCUGUUUGGUCUGUUACGCUGUUACACUCGGAAUCACUUUAGAGGUCGGUGGGACGAGGGUAAACUGGAAGUUUCAGGCGCUGAACUUGGCAUUAGAAUGACAAAGACGAGUAGAUUAUAGUUUUAGACCAGUAGGCCUUCCGGGUACUAGAGGAGACAAGACGUGGAAGCAGAAACUUCCAGCAAAGAUUGCUGGAGGCUGAGAAGUUCAAGAUCCAGAUGCUGGCAGAUUUGGUGUCUGCGAGAGCCCUCUUCCUGGUUCAUAGAUGGCUAUCAGGUGGCCUAGGACACCUGAUCCUAACUUCAGCACCCUGCCAGGAAAAGCUGCCAUAUCACAGUGGUGGUGACUGCAGCUGCACUGACCCACCUCGUGGGUGGGACCCUCAGGAACACGAGCAUCUUUGGGAAUUGUUACCUCUCAUCCAUUGGCAGUUGCCACCACCAUGCCACUGAAAGAAUCUAAGAGGCACCCAAAAGAAUUAGCUAACAUCUUUCUUGAGAGGCACCCUGGUAGAGAAGCCUGGGCUGCAGACCUGCAUUCAACGAUUGGCUCUGAUGUUGGGAUGUUCUUGGCUGCUACAGAAAAUUCUGACUCAGUAUGGCUUAAACAAAAGGUAAACUUAUUAUUUUUCAUAACCAGAAGUAGGGUGAACUCCAGGCCCUGUGUGAUCAGUGGCUCAGUGAUGUCAUGAAGAAUGCAGGGUUCUUUCUGUCUCCCCACUCCUGCCAGCCUCAAUGUUGGUGUAAUCCUAACACGAGUCCUGCCAAUUCCCCCUCAUAGUUCCAAGAUGAUUCCCACUCAGGCUGCCAGGCAAUCAGAGCUGUAGCCUUCCCUGCUCACUCCCAGCAGGUGAACACCUGUCCCAAACAGGGGCUACCAUAAAUCCUCUGCUUCAGUCUGAUCAGCCCAACUCAGGUCUCUAGCCCAUCACUCCUGGACCAGUAUUGGUUGCCCUGGGAAUGCCAUGUUGAUGGACUCAGACUUGCCUUGUCCAAUACAGAAGCUACUAGACACAUAUAGCCACUGGGCACUUGAAAUGUGCCUAGUCUGAAUUAAGAAGUGCUUUAAGUGUAAAAUACUCAUCAGAUUCCAAAAUCUUCUCCCUCUCUUUUUCUUUGUCUCUCUCUCACACACACACAAAUAAAAUAUCUCUUUAAUGUUUUUCAUAUAGAUUAUUAUGUUGAAAUAAUAACAUUUUGGAUAUAUUGGGUUAAAUAAAAUUUAUUAUUAAAAAUAA
rnacentral:lncRNA from 1 species